rnacentral:rRNA from 1 species
AACGUAGGUGGCGAGCGUUAUCCGGAUUCAUUGGGCGUAAAGAGCUUGUAGGCGGCGUCAUAAGUUGGACGUGAAAACUCCGGGCUUAACUUGGAGAGGCCGUUCAAUACUGUGAGGCUAGAGGGUGUCAGAGGGAAGUAGAAUUCCUGGUGUAGCAGUGAAAUGCGUAGAUAUCAGGAGGAAUACCCGUGGCGAAGGCGGCUGCCUGGGGCACCACUGACGCUGAGAAGCGAAAGCGUGGGGAGCAAACAGG